AGUGAAAGCUUGAUAACCAAGAUCGAAAAAUGUGUUAGGGGAACCCAGGGCAGAAAGGGGGAACUUAAUCUCUGGAGGCAUGUGGAAGGGACAAUAACAAAGACAAAAGCAUAGAGGAACCUUGUGUGGAUUUAUUGUCUAUUGCAACUCUGAAGUGCUAAGCUACACCAAGUUCAUGUUACGUUGUUUAAGUAGCUAGCACGUGUAGCUGGCUCUGGGCUUUGAAGGAUUAAUUAAUUAUACAGAUCACGUUGCCCGAGGCGUGGGUCUUCUCCGUUGAACACUGCGAUGUUGGGUUUGAAUCCCACCGAAGAAAUAUCUGCUGACUCCAUCAUCAUGUCAUCGCCUGAAACGUCAGCAGUCGUCUACCACAGUGGUAUUCAACCUGGGGUACGCGAAGACAUCUUAGGGGGAGUAAUCGCUUGCGUUCGGCAGGUUCUCGAUGACACAAGUCGACAUCUGGGAUCUAUAAACAUUCAUGUCUACAUCCAGUGUACACUAAAACUGUAGAAGAUGAUGCACAGGGACAGCUUAAAAGAGCAGAGGAAACCAUCACACGCUCAGAACUUCAAGCAAUCGCAAUCUUUGAAAUUACGUAUAAAAGUAAGUGAUAAUAAAACAAUAUGGGACAAUGGAGUGAGGGAAACUAAGUUCAAGAGCGAAGAGGAAUGACUUGAUGACGAAGGCAAAAAGUUCGUCUGAAACGUCGGGAGAAGCCAAACGUCAGCCAUCUUCUUACUCGCUACCGUCAGAACCUCAAAUCCUGCGAUUACUUCAACAGUUCUUACGUUGUUACACGCGGACAGACAGACAGACGCCUCGCCUUCUGCACUAAUUCAUACAUUUCUGUUUCACAGCAUUUACUUACCAUUCAAAACAGCCGCACUUUCAUAGUUUCGCUCAGUGUUCAUGG